UACGUAAGGCGCAAGCGUUGUCCGGAAUUAUUGGGCGUAAAGAGCUCGUAGGCGGCUUGUCGCGUCGGAUGUGAAAGCCCGGGGCUUAACCCCGGGUCUGCAUUCGAUACGGGCAGGCUAGAGUUCGGUAGGGGAGAUCGGAAUUCCUGGUGUAGCGGUGAAAUGCGCAGAUAUCAGGAGGAACACCGGUGGCGAAGGCGGUUCUCUGGGCCUUACCUGACACUGAGGAGCGAAAGCGUGGGGAGCGAACAGG
rnacentral:rRNA from 1 species